rnacentral:rRNA from 1 species
GGAAUUUUGGACAAUGGGGGAAACCCUGGUCCAGCGACGCCGCGUGGAGGACGAAGGUCUUCGGAUUGUAAACUCCUUUUAUUUGGGAAUAAGAAAUCUAUAGAAAUAUAGAGAGUGAAUGUACCAAAUGAAUAAGCCACGGCUAACUUCGUGCCAGCAGCCGCGGUAAUACGAAGGUGGCAAGCGUUACUCGGAAUGACUAGGCGUAAAGGGCAGGUAGGUGGUUUAGUAAGUCUGUUGUGAAAGCUCCUGGCUCAACUGGGAGAGGUCAAUAGAUACUGCUAGGCUUGAGUAUGGGAGAGGGUACUGGAAUUCCCGGUGUAGCGGUGAAAUGCGCAGAGAUCGGGAGGAACACCAAUGGCGAAAGCAGGUACCUGGACCAUUACUGACACUCAGCUGCGAAAGCUAGGGGAGCAAAC